UCAUCUUCGGGGGUAGAGCACUGUUUCGGCUAGGGGGUCAUCCCGACUUACCAACCCGAUGCAAACUACGAAUACCGAAGAAUGUUAUCACGGGAGACACACGGCGGGUGCUAACGUCCGUCGUGAAGAGGGAAACAACCCAGACCGCCAGCUAAGGUCCCAAAGUCACAGUUAAGUGGGAAACGAUGUGGGAAGGCACAGACAGCCAGGAUGUUGGCUUAGAAGCAGCCAUCAUUUAAAGAAAGCGUAAUAGCUCACUGGUCGAGUCGGCCUGCGCGGAAGAUGUAACGGGGCUAAACUGUGCACCGAAGCUGCGGCAGCGACACUAUGUGUUGUUGGGUAGGGGAGCGUUCUGUAAGCCUGCGAAGGUGGCCUGUGAGGGUUGCUGGAGGUAUCAGAAGUGCGAAUGCUGACAUAAGUAACGAUAAUGCGGGUGAAAAGCCCGCACGCCGGAAGACCAAGGGUUCCUGUCCAACGUUAAUCGGGGCAGGGUGAGUCGACCCCUAAGGCGAGGCCGAAAGGCGUAGUCGAUGGGAAACAGGUUAAUAUUCCUGUACUUGGUGUUACUGCGAAGGGGGGACGGAGAAGGCUAUGUUAGCCGGGCGACGGUUGUCCCGGUUUAAGCAUGUAGGCGGAGGUUCCAGGUAAAUCCGGUACCUUUUAACGCUGAGGUGUGAUGACGAGGCACUACGGUGCUGAAGUAACAAAUGCCCUGCUUCCAGGAAAAGCCUCUAAGCAUCAGGUAACAUUGAAUCGUACCCCAAACCGACACAGGUGGUCAGGUAGAGAAUACCAAGGCGCUUGAGAGAACUCGGGUGAAGGAACUAGGCAAAAUGGUGCCG
rnacentral:rRNA from 1 species